UUUGCGUUGGCUUUUCUUUUCAGUUUUUAUUUCUGUUAAGUGAAAUGUGCAGGGGCUUCAACACACCGAACCAAAAACGGAGAAAACACAGAAAGCAGUGGAAUAAAAAAAAAAUAUUCUAGUUGCAGCAGCAUUCGUUGUCGUUGCCUGGCUGUUCCUUAAAUAAAUUUAGCUUAGUUUUUGAAUGGUUUUUGCACUUGAGAGGUUUAUAUUUUCCACUGCGCCCUACCGACUAAACGGAAUGUGUAACAUCAUUUAAAUGGUAUAAUACAUCCAUUUCUGACCACUGUGACCCACGCAACCGUGCCUGCAAAGCAAUCUCCCAACGCAGCAGCAGUUCUCCAAGCGGACCCAACCAAACCAUACCAAACUCAAAUGCCGCAUGGACUGCUCCUUCUCCAUCGACUGGGACUCCCAACUCUUGACUUGGACUGCGAAAAGCGAUUCGGGAUUCGCGACUCUUGCGAUGGCACGACUUUGGCGAAAUAAGAUAUAAGCACGACAUAAAUGAUAUUUUGUCAUCUUUAUUAUCAGAGCGCGCCAGAGAGGAAGUUAGGUAGAAGGAGCCAAGUCGAAGGUGGAGGAAUACAGGUAAAUGGCAUAAAGUAACCAAAUAAGCGCAGAGCAGCUGAAGAUGCGGCUAACCGGUGUCAUGGGAAGAGGCCAAUGCCAAGAAAAUAUAAAUACUCGUACAAGUACAAGAACAAGGAUGGCUCGUCUGCGUGGAGAAUUGGCCAUUGAAUGCCAGAAGCAGAUGCAGAGGCAAUAGCAAAAGCAAAAGCAAAAGCAGUCCAAUGCUAGAGGGCCAGGUGAGUGUCAGGCCGAAAGGCAGGAAGCAACUGCAACACUUGACCAGCAGUCGUCUUGCGAUUCUGUGGACGACACCACAAUGGAAAUGGCACUGGCAACGCGAAUGGCUAUGGCCAGGUUUCAGCUGGCCCAGGUUAUGGUUUACCCCAUCUCCAUGGUGCGUCAUAUUUACGGUUCGCCCCAACACAUAAACAACAUUAUUUGCCACCCCAUACCAACUCGGGCCUGUCAUAAACUAGUUUCACACACGUCUAUAUCUCUAUGUGCAGAGAGAAAAAA